AGCCAGGUCGGUUUCUAUCCUCAGUUUGUAUAUAAUUUUUAGUACGAAAGGACCAUUAUUAUGGAAUAAUUUUUAUUUAUUUGAAUGUUAUUAA
rnacentral:rRNA from 2 species